rnacentral:lncRNA from 1 species
AUGAACUUUGGACCUGCCUCAGCUCACUGGACUGUGAACAGAAUCUGUUCUUGCUCCAAACCUUGCUUUUUUUUUUUUUUUUUUUUUUUUUUUGAUGCUAUAGGGCUGUGCUAUGACCACAGAGGAUGGUGUGUGUGCUCCAGCACCCUAGCUAAUCUUCCCUUGUGGAGUACCUGUGCUUUUGCUUUGGCUGCUGCAGGGCAUUCAGUACAAUUCAGUGAUUGAUUGGAAGCUUCAGAUAAUUUGAAUGUGGAUCUGCGUUUGGACUGGAUCAGGUGCUCAAGAGGAAAUCCAGCCUGCUGCCUUCAGGCCUGCAUGGGGCUGCUGCAACCUCAGUCAUAGCAGGCUGGGAGGCUCUCCAUGAAGACAGAUGGCUUGGCAGACGGGCGUUGUUACCUUGCUGGUUUUAGACAGUGUGGGGAAGAGGAAUGUGGGUGAAGUGAAGGUGUGUAAAAUCUCAGGACUAGCUAAAAGGUUUUUCCCCAAGGAGGCUUUUCUUAUAGCACAAAGGAGCACAAGGACAGUGGAGACUUUGAGGAGAAAAGGUGAAGGACAGAGCGUAUAGAGAAGUGUCACCUGCUGGAAGGGUUGGGAGUGACUCUCAGGAGGGAUGCUGAGGUGUCUGAAAGAUGCUGAGGGCUCUUCAGUGGAGGCACGAAGAUUUAGGUAGGUUAGAUGAACAAGAGAUUAGUACUAAAAUGAACUCUGUAUGUGGGAUUACACUGGUUUGCAGGGUCACAAAGGACUUAGCUGUGACUCAGGCGAGACAUACCAUCAGAUUUCCUGAUUAAAGUUUUUCAACUUUUACUAAAAAUUCUUCACUCUCCAUCAGAAAGCCAGAUGAGGUAUGGAUUUGUGUGUGCCUGUCAGGUGCCUGCUGCUGCCAUGCCAGCCUAUCUUCUGUUGGCAUUCAUUUGGGUAGUUUUCUUCUUUGUCUGCAGCACAAGUAGUUAAUCACUUGGAGAACCUAAUUAGGUGGUAACGAACCCAGGUGUCUUCCUUCUCUCAAUGUAAUAGGACAUCUGCCACUGCUCCAAGAGCACUUAACAAUGACUGACUAACAAUGGCUGUAAUGUAUGGUCAUGAAGAGAGAAUGGUUUCCCUUAGUGCCUCAACUAGGAUGUGGUUCAUUGGGAAAGUCUGAAUUCACAAUUACCUUGCCCUGUGCCAAAAAGGUGUGUUCCUGGCUGCCAUGAAAUGUAAACCCCAUCCAGAAUGGAGUGGG